CAUUAACACAAGAUCCCAGUGCCCGCAAACACCGCUAGGGAGGUUCCUCUCCCCUAAAACUCCCCUCUUCCAGGAGGUAAGAAGCAAAAUGAUUUGCAGGUCUUUGUUUAGCGCAGGCUUUUGUUGCUGGCGUGUAUUCUGUUCUCACUGGGAAAGGAACGGAGUCCAGCGGGGUGGGAACAGGAGGGAACCUCCUUCCCUGUGCCAAGGCACACAGCCCUCACUGCAAACUGGAUCAGGAAGGUUCAGUGCAUGAACUUUCAGUUUGAAAUCCUUGCUGCUGAACUCUGACAUUGAGUCAGAGCUGUUCUGCUGAGAUCCCUGUCUGCGAGUGGAUUUUGCGUUGCUUUGCUCCUACAAACGAAGUUCAUUACCAGAUACCGGCUCCUUAAUGAAGCAGACCUGAUGCAGAUGGAGGGAGCAUUUUUGUUGCCUGCCUGAGCUCCCAACCCAGUGCACGCAGCCCCAGUGCGCAUCAGCGGUGUCUGACAUCUUUGGCCUCUGUGGACAAGAGCAAACCUUACUUGGGGCAGUGGGGGCACUGUGAGGCACCCAGAUUGCUUCUGCAGACCUCGCUUUUUAGCAGUUCACAUUGAAAAAAGGAGAUAUUUUCAGUGCAACAAGCUGGGAGUGGUUAGUAAAGAAACUUGUUUUGCCUAUUUGCCCUCUGUUUCAGACAAGCUAUGAAAUGGAUGUUUGCAUUAGAAACGUUAGAUGUUAUUCUCCAUUUUUACUUUCAAGAUGAGUCUUUCAGCCUUCCUCCCGUAUGUAUCAGUUACUCUGCCUUUACAAAAGGUGCUCCAAGGGAUUUAUGUGCUGGUGGCAUGGUGGCAGCAGCCUGGGAUUUCAGCCGGCACGCUGCCAGUGCAGCAAAGACUGGGACUUUGUGCUAUUAGCUCCUCAUUGGUCUCAGUGCUGCCAUUUGCUGUUCCUUUGCAGAGGGUGAGACCUGGAUUUCUAACAGGGGUGAAGGUGUGUGCCCAUGCGUAUGUGAGAUAGGAUUCCUCAUUUUUUAAAACCAAUACAGUCUCUUGGAAGAAAUGCUUUUAUACUCUAAAAGGACAAAAACGCAGGGCUUGAGCCAUCUAUUUUUCUGCAGGGUAUCUCUUAAAGGCAUUAUUGAUGGUGAGCUUAAAGACUAAAGCACAUGCAUGUUUCUGAAUUGACUGUAUUUUCUUUAAGCAAUGUUGCAGGCUCCCACAGUUUUGCUGCCAGAAGCACACGUUUGCUACUUCUCAUAGAGCUGCCAGGCCCGGUCUCGUAGGGUUACAGGAGAGUACUGUGACUUUUGUGCCAGUAUAAGAAUAGCAUUUGCUGUUGGCAACAGUUUUUUGUUCUUCCACACUGCAUGUAGAAUUCAUCCUAAGAUUUACUGGUUUAGCCCAGGCAAGAGAAGGUAUACAUGUAGUAAGCAAUGAGGUGUAAUGUUGGGGUUGAC
ensembl:lncRNA